rnacentral:rRNA from 1 species
GAUGAACGCUGGCGGCGUGCCUAAUACAUGCCAGUCGAGCGAACAGACGAGGAGCUUGCUCCUCUGACGUUAGCGGCGGACGGGUGAGUAACACGUGGAUAACCUACCUAUAAGACUGGGAUAACUUCGGGAAACCGGAGCUAAUACCGGAUAAUAUAUUGAACCGCAUGGUUCAAUAGUGAAAGACGGUUUUGCUGUCACUUAUAGAUGGAUCCGCGCCGCAUUAGCUAGUUGGUAAGGUAACGGCUUACCAAGGCAACGAUGCGUAGCCGACCUGAGAGGGGGUACGCCCCCUGUGAAACUGACCCGCGGCCCAGGCACUGAGGGGGGGCACAGAUGGGGAAGGUACGCAACAGGGGGAAACCCUGCAGGAGGACCGGCCGGGGGAUGAAGAAAGUCUUCGGUCGGGAAAACGCUUUUAUGGGGGAAAAACAAAUUUGCAAGUAACUAAGCGCGUUUGAAGGUAACCGAUAAAGAAGCCCCGGCUAAAUACGGG